CUUUCAUCUCCGGUGGGAAUAAAAAUAGUGGCAUAAGCCGCACACCUUUCCGACGGAAUAUCCUGCUGUACCCCUACACUGUUGUAGUCAAAGCGUUAUAAAAA
rnacentral:ncRNA from 1 species